CGCAGCCUUGUCAAAUUCGGUGCCCGCCUCCACCCCGUGGCGGGGACCGGCCCAGGGGCUGCCACAGCAAUAGGGUCGUGCUUCAUGGGCCCCCUGCCCCUGCUUGUGGGGCUGCGGGGACAAAACCAAGCCACGCACAGCA